rnacentral:lncRNA from 10 species
CUGCACUCCAGCCUGGGCAACAGAAUGAGACUCCAUCUCAAAAAAAUAAAUCAAUAAAAGGAACAUAGAUCACAACACCAGAGGGAAGAGACCCAGCAGACGGGUCCUAUGCAGAAACUUGCUCCCCAGUGAUCCACAAGUCACCCAGGAGGUAAAGUAUAUGCAAGCCACAUCAGUGUUCCAGGAUGAGGGUUGCCAUUAACAAGUUUGUUUCCAGCCCUGAAAUCUGUUCCCAUUUGAACAAAUAUUACUCUUAGGAAUAGUAUAGGGCUCCCCCACCAAGAUGGUUUAAGCAAAGGUCAUAGGCCCUGCCUGUCUAAAAAUGUAACCCUGAAGUUCUUUUUGGGUGAAAGCAUUGUUAGGUGUCUCAGACAAGGACUGUUCUAUUCAACACGGAAGCACGCGUUUGCUUGUGAGCUGUUACUGCAGACUUGCCUGAGAUGCAUCCAGCCCAGAAGGGCAGGCACAGUGGGCAGCUUGUGUAUGGAGGGAGAUCAACCGGGAGAAGACACAAAGAUACAUUUUUGAGACUUUAUUAUUUCCCAUCUAAAAGUCCACCCCUAUUCUAGUGGCCAGAAUUGACUGCAGAGAAGGCAGGGUGCCCAGGAAGGGGACUGUAUGGUAAACACAGCAUUAUCACUGCCACAGGAGCCUGGUAGGGCUCAGCUGAAACUCCACCUCCCUCCACAGCCUUCAGGGGUCCUUCUUGUCCUAUGGACUCUUCUGGCAUUUCCUGUGUGGAUGCCCAUCUCAUACCUUUACAUUUUUAAAUUUUAUUUAUUUGAGAUGGAGUCUUACUCUGUCACCAGGCUGGAGUGCAGUGGCACUAUCUCAGCUCACUGCAACUUCCACCUCCCAGGUUCAAACAAUUUUCCUGCUUCAGCUUCCUAAGUAGCUAGGAUUGCAGGCGUCCGCCACCCUGCCCAGCUAAUUUUUGUAUUUUUAGUAGAGGUGGGGUUUCAUCAUGUUGGUCAGGCUGGUCUCGAACUCCUGACCACAGGUGAUCUGCCCUCCGUGGCCUCCCAAAGUGCUGGUGAGAGGUGAAGCCGGCUGGGCUUCUGGGAUGGGUGGGGACUUGGAGAACUUAUUUGUCUAGCUAAAGGAUUGUAAACGCACCAAUCAGCACUCUGUGUCUAGCUAAAGGUUUGUAAAUGCACCAAUCAGCACUCUGUCAAAAAUGGACCAAUCAGCACUCUGUAAAAUGGACCAAUCAGCACUCUGUAAAAUGGACCAAUCAGCUUGCUGUAAAAUGGACCAAUCAGCAGGAUGUGGGUGGGGCCAAAUAAGGGGAUAAAAAGCAGGCCAUGCGAGCCACCUGUGGCAACCCACUUGGGUUCCCUGCGAUGUUGUGGAAGGGUUGUUGUUUUGCUGUUUCCAGUAAAUGUUGGUGUUGCUCAGUUUUUGGGUCCACACUGUGUUUAUGAGCUGUAACACGCACUGCAAAGGUCUGCAGCUUCACUCCUGAGGUCAGCGAGACCAUGAACUCACCAACCUGCUGGGAGGGAUGAACAACUCCGGACGCGCCACGUUUAUGAACUGUAACACCACGAAGGUCUGCAGCUUCGCUCCUGAGGCCAGCACGACCAUGAACCCAUUAGAAGGAAUGAACAACUCCAGACGCGCUGCCCUUAGGAGCCGUAACACUCACUGUGAAGCUUUCACAGGAUCACUCUGGCUGCUGUGUUGAUCCUGGACUGUCAGGGUACAAAGGUAGAGGAGACAUUGCGGUGAUCCCAGGGCCCUGGAGAGAGGAGUGGCAGUGGAACUGAUGAGAGGUGCUCAGAUGCUGGAGAGAACUAGAGUGACUUGCCCAAGGUCACACAGCUAGUCAGCAGGAGAGCCAGGAGCACCAAGAAAAUGCUUCUGGAUGUUGGAAUGUCAGCCUCGACUCCGCUUCUUUCUGAACUCGCUUGUUCUGCUUCGGGCUCCCAUGUCAGCAGUGUCGUGGAGAGCUCGUCCGUGUGAAGGGACAGCAUCCCGGCCAGGCCAUGGAUGGUGGCCCGGGAGGAGGAAGUGUGAGCGGGUCAAGAGAGAGAGAAGGCAUGAGAGAGGCACUCUGCUCGGAUGACACAGCCCACACUGUUUUGCCACAGAUUUGUGGUGUAUCACAGCUCGAGGGAGUCCUGGAGGCCACCCAGGCCAGGGUUUCUCAUGUUGUUGACCAUGUGCACCAGGAGGUGAGGCCUGGGAAUCCACCUACUUAGUGGCUCAGGAGAGCUGGCCCAAUAACCAGCUGGUACAGAGGCCUCAUUUCAUCGAGGAGCAGUCUGGACUGGAGAGGCCACAGGACUCGGAACAGCACCAGAUUGAAAGCAGAGCCCAUUUGAGACGUGGCUUAAAGAGGGACACCAUGCUGUCCAAACGUGGGUGUAGACAGAGCAGACACAGCCUCUUUUAUCUGCUUAUUGUGGCUCUGGGAAGACAGCUCCCCAACCCCUCCAUUCCUCUCUCAUUUGUUCAUCUUGAAACCCAUUAAGAGGGCACAAAACCUUUAUGUCACAGUGGGAGAUAAUAUGUGAAUGAUUCUUAGAAAGGUAAGAGGUAUAGGCUGGGCGCGGUGGCUCACGCCUGGAAUCCCAGCACUUUAGGAGGCCAAGGUGGGCGGAUCAUGAGGUCAGGAGAUCGAGACCAUCCUGGCUAACACGGUGAAACCCCGUCUCUACUACAAAUACAAAAAAAUUAGCCGGGCAUGGUGGCGGGCGCCUGUAGUCCCAGCUACUCGGGAGGCUGAGGCUGGAGAAUGGAGUGAACCCGGGAGGCGGAGCUUGCAGUGAGCCGAGAUUGCGCCACUGCACUCCAGCCUGGGCAACAGAGCGAAACUCCGUCUCAAAAAAAAAAAAAAAAAAAGAAAGAAAAAAAAGAAAGGUAAGAGGUAUAAAAUAUCCCCCAAGCUAAGGAGGCGCUGUAAUAGGCAGCUCUCCACUUUUGAGAAGAUUAGCUAUUGGAGGAAGAGGUGGCAUGAAACGGCACAGGACCCAAAAGGUGCCCUGCAUGGAGGGAACAUCCCAGAUCACAGAUCAAAGACUGGAUGCAGGGUGGGAAUCCUGUUUUCUAAUUUUUUAUUAUAAAAAUUUCCAAACACACAAAAAUUAAAAGAAUGAUGUACUGAUCACCCAGAUAUCUACCACUUAUAUUCAAAAACUUAAAACAUUCCCAUAGAUGUGCAUGAUCUAUCUAUAGGUCCAUCUGUGUGUGUGUGUGUGUGUGUGUGUGUGUGUGUGUGUGUGUGUGUGUGUGUGUGUCUGGUCGAGGACCAGCAUUUCAAUAAAGGAUAGGGAGUGCUCAACAGGAAACAAGGACAAGACACAGAGGCUGAGGUGGGCAGAUCACUUGGGGCCGAUAGUUCGAGACCAGGCUGACCAACAUGGUGAAACCCCGUCUCUACUAAAAUUACAAAAAAAUUAGCUGGGCGUGGUAGCGCAUGCCUGUAAUCCCGGCUACUUGGGAGGCUGAGGCAGGAGGAUCGCUUGAACAUGGGAGGCGGAGGUUGCAGUGAGUUGAGAUCGCGCACUUCACUCUCGCAACAGAGCGAGACUCCAUCUCAAAAAAAAGAAAGAAAGAAACUUAGUUACAAAGAUUUGAACUUUAACUUGAUGUAGUUAAGUUUAAAUGUAUGUGGAAUAAACCGUGGCAGGGUUUGAUUUAAUUUUAAUUGUUUUUUGCUUUUGUCUUAUUUAGAGAGGUAAAUGAGAUGCUUUGGCAACUGUUGAGGAAGAGAGGAAACAGACUUCAAUGCAGUUAAGAUGGACAUAAGCAGGUUGGAAGGCAGCCAGAGGGAAUUUUUGCAGAAGGAGUGACCCAGUCUUGGGGACAGAGAAUAUGGAUUUGUUUUCCCCAAAGAAUUUAUUGAGCUCUGUGUGUAGUGAGCAUGGCUGGA